rnacentral:lncRNA from 1 species
AGAUGGCAAAGACCGACGCGAAAGAUGCUCGGAGUUGGAAGGGGCACCGAUGGAGUGGCUGAGUGGCUAAGCUCUCAGGCGAAAGAAGGAUGUCGUGAAGCCCCUGGAGGAAAGGUGGGGGCUUAAAUAGGCAACGGGGCCUGGCGCAGUUAUGGUGGUAGGUGUCCCUUGGCCAGCCAGUGCCCACCACGUGUCCCACAUGUCCCAC